GAUGAAGAACUUAGCGAAAUGCGAUAAGUAGUGUGAAUUGCAGAAUUCAGUGAAUCAUCGAAUCUUUGAACGCACAUUGCGCCCAUUGGCAUUCCGAUGGGCAUGCCUGUUCGAGCGUCAUUAUCCUCCCUCAAACCCCUGGGUUUGGUGUUGGACUGUGUGGUGCCUGGCACCACUGGUCUCAAAGACAAUGACGGCGUCCGUGGGACCCUCGGUGCAACGAGCUUUUCGAAGCACGCGUCGAGUGGACAGUCUCUCCGGGCCGGUCACCUCUCCAAUUUUUCUCAGGUUGACCUCGGAUCAGGUAGGAAUACCCGCUGAACUUAAGCAUAUCAAUAAGCGGAGGA
rnacentral:misc_RNA from 1 species